GCCUUUUGCUUUUUCAUUUUCCCUCUCCGUUCGUCCGGGCUAUUGAGACGCCUAAAACUAAAACCGUGCAUCACUUUACUGAGCACUGCCACUGUUUCAGCCGCGUCCAGUCUCUUUUUUCACACAGCAUCAAGCAUCAUCCAAUUACCACACAACACAUUCCCUCAUCAUUUCCUUACCAAUUUCUACCCACUUUUCAUCUCAGCCCAAAUUUUCAAAUUCGGCUGCUGGAAACCCUAAAAUGGAGUCGGAGAUGAGCCAAUCAGGCUCCACAGUGGGCCAAUCCUCCGGGGAGCAUGGGUCGGGUUCCGGGAGGAAUGAGGGCGGUUUGAGAGCGGAGAUUGAUACUUCUGCUCCUUUUGAGUCUGUCAAGGAGGCAGUGAGCCGAUUCGGUGGAGUCGGUUACUGGAAACCCUCUCAACAUAAGCUCUCCGAAACUGAGCAUGAGGAGGAAGAGGUUGACAUUUCAAAACUAGAGGAACAAGCAGCACUGCUGGAAAAAGAUCUGAUCGUGAAAGAAAGGAAAACACUGGAUGUUCUAAAAGAGUUGGAAACAACAAAAUUGAUGGUUGAAGAAUUAAAACUGAAGUUACAGAAACAGGCAUCUGAUGCCAAUGUGACCCUGGAAUCAAGUGCAGAAGAUAGAAAAAUGACUCCUGCUUUAAAGGAAGAAAAGAAAGAUGACCUUAACCAUGAGAAUCUUGGAGAUCAUAAUCAGAAUUUGAUGGAAGGUUUGAGCCCCUGCCCCUCUUCAGCUCCUGGUUUAAUUUUAAUGGAAUUAAAACAGGCUAAGUUGAACCUUUCUAGGACUACUAAUGAUCUUGCUGAUAUUCGAGGUUCUGUUGAAUUUCUAAAUAAGAAAUUAGAAAAGGAAAGAAUUUCACUUGAAAAAACCCGUGAGCGGCUAGCCCUGAAUUCCUCAAAGAUUUCAUCUCUUGAGGAAGAGUUAAACCAAACAAAUCUAAAACUUAAAGUGGUGAAAGAUGCUGAAAUUAAAGGCAGCUCUGAGAACUCUUUGGAUAUAUCAAGGGAGCUCCAUCGACUGAAUUCUGAGGCAGAUCAGUUCAUAAAAAUGGGAGAAGCUGCACGUUCUGAAGUUCUGAAAGCAAUAUCUGAGAUUGAAGAAACAAAAAGUAGGAUAAAAACGGCUGAGAUCAGGUUGUUUGCCGUCAGAAAAAUGAAGCAAGCAGCAAGAGCAGCAGAAGCUGCUGCUCUUGCAGAGAUCAAGGCUAUGUCGUCCCGUAAGAACUCAUCAGGAGAUUCCUCACAAGCUGAAGGAGUAACUCUUACGUUCGAAGAGUAUUCAACCUUAACCUGCCAAGCUCAAAAAGCGAAGGAACUAUCCAAGAGUAAGGUAAUUGAGGCAAUGCAUCAAGUUGAUGAAGCAAAUGUUUCAAGAAUGGAAAUCUUAAAGAAAGUAGAGGAAGCUACAGAAGAAGUCAAAACCAGUAAGAGGGCCUUGGAAGAAGCUCUCAACAGAGUAGAGGCUGCAAAUAGGGGAAAGCUUGCAGUUGAAGAAGCUCUUCGCAAGUGGAGAUCUGACCACGGGCAGAAAAGACGUUUAGUGCAGAACUCUACCAAGUUUAAGAAUUCAUACCCGUCUCACCAUCGGAGGGAUUCCCGUUUGCUUGAUGUAAAUGGACUAAACCUACUAAGUGAUGCAUCAACACCUGUUUUGAAGCCAACCCUAUCAAUAGGCCAAAUACUUAGCAGGAAGCUACUGUUGCCUGAAGAGUUUGAGACAGGAAUAUUGGCAGAAACAGGCACCAUGAAGAGAAAGGUGUCUCUGGGUCAAAUGCUCGGUAAACCAAAUAGUGAUGUACCCUCCACUUGCAAGGCUGAGAAGGAAAACUGUCCCAAGCAAUUUUCUGGAAAGAGGAAGAAGUUUGGAUUUGCCCGGUUCUCACUACUCUUGACAAAGCAGAGUAAGAAAAAGAAGAGGCCAACUCCAAACUUGAGGUAACGUGGCUGGCUGUGCCCAUUGUUUUCAAUCAGCCUUAAUUUCUAAUUAUAUCUCCUUACCAUGGUGGACUCUUCUAUAUUCCUAUUUUCUAGUCUUCCUAGUCGCCUAUUACUGUUUCUGUUAGCUAGAUAUGUAUCUUGUAUUCGGUUAUUGUAAAGAUGUUUAGGAUAUUCUGCAUCUCUCAUCAGCCCCUUUUAAGGUUAAUGACUCUGCCACUCUUUGAUGUGACUGGACUAUGUGCUGGGAUGUGACUGGAUUAUAUGCUGGGAUGUAAUUUGUUAUGGAAACUAAUUUGCCUUGUGAUUGGAAUCUCCUUAUCUCACCACUGAAUUCCAAUCUGAUGUGCUUGAUUAGUUAUUUAUCCUUAAAUAACAUCAAAUUGUCACUCCUAUGAGGGCAUGCAAAACUUGGGAUCCUUACAUUUUUUCAUAUGAAUCAUAUCCUUUUUGUAUUUAAAUUAUAAUGGAUGGAUGGUGUUUGUGAAAGCAAAACGAUCAU
rnacentral:misc_RNA from 1 species